GUUUUUUUUAUGCCAAACGACCCCUGAAAGUGCGGCACUGGUUGCUUGAUAUGAAUCAUCAAUUGCGAGUUCUUCAUCCAUUUUUGUUGGCCUAGAGUUCUUUGGAAAAGUGGUGAUUGAUCUGGGCUUGGACUUUCUUGUAUUGUUUUAGGCCUGUGUUCUAGAUUUUUGUUGGUUAUAGUUAUGAUUCUUCUUUAAAAA
rnacentral:misc_RNA from 1 species